UACGUAGGGUGCAAGCGUUGUCCGGAAUUAUUGGGCGUAAAGAGCUCGUAGGCGGUUCGUCGCGUCGGCUGUGAAAUCCCGGAGCUCAACUCCGGGUCUGCAGUCGAUACGGGCGGACUCGAGUUCGGCAGGGGAGACUGGAAUUCCUGGUGUAGCGGUGAAAUGCGUAGAUAUCAGGAGGAACACCUGUGGCGAAAGCGGCUCACUGGACCACAACUGACGCUGAUGCGCGAAAGUUAGGGGAGCAAACAGG
rnacentral:rRNA from 1 species